UUUAAUUUUUUGGACCAGUGGAUUGGUUUUUUUGACAUCUUUAAGGUAUUACUGUUGUUUGUAUUACUGUUGUAUUACUGUAAAAAUAUUAAUAUGUUGACAAAUUUAUUAAUUGAUCUAUAAUUGUUGAUGAUAUUAGUUGUUCCGACUAUGCAAAUGUAUUCUGCAGUCCUCGUUCCGCAUUUUAUGCUCGUCGCAGGGUGUUUUCCAUAAUAUACUAUGCAUACUACUGUGCACAAAGGAUGCUUUGAUUUAAUUUAUUAAAAUACUAACAGUUGUAUUUUUUUCCAUGUUCAAUUACCUGUCAAUGUUGCUAACUUAAAUAUAGUGUUUUGCUGUAGGUUGGUAUCGAUUCCUGUUGAUUCUGGGGAACACUGUUUUCAGUACUUCAAACUACGUUGAUGUUUUCUUGCAGCAUGGGAGAACUUUUUAUAUAGUUGUUUUGGAACCGUGACACUAUAAUACCUGCAGAAACUGUGCACAGCUUUUUGGAAUUGUUAUUCUGGCAUAAAAUUUCAUCGCAUCAUCUGAGAGUUACGAUUCAAGGUGACAAAAUAAUUGUUUUAUUAUUUUGAUUAUAAAAGAAAUAGGUGGUGAGCUCACUACAUAUAUUAGUGAACUACUCUGAUGAACUACAUGAUGAAUGAUACAAUACAGGUGCUGGCAUGCUAUCCAUGGCAAACUCAGGGCUAAACACUAAUCGAGGAUCCAUGGGUUCCCGCUUUACAGUACCAGUUUUUCCACCUUUACCAGAUUUCUUGUGUGCUAAAUUGUGAUUUUCAGAUUAUAUUGUUAUUAGUUGAUAAUUUUAUACAUAUAUAUAUAUUACUUUUUAGAUAUUCCUCAGUAAAUGAUGAUGUCAUCAAUUCACUGAGGAAUCUAUACAAUGUAUAUCCAGAAUUUUUCAGUGUAUCUAACGUCCAAUCUUCUGGUUUAAUGUUUUGUACUUUUGUUUCCAGAAGAGUUUUUAUUUUAGCUGGUAUUUUAAAUGUUGCUACGUCUGGAAACUUCUAAACAAACAAAAUUAUUAUAAGUAUUUUAUGAAAUGUGAAUUGUUUUAAAGUUGUGUAAUAAGUUAAAAUAUAUUUUAAUCGUGCAGUGUAUAGUUUUAACUUAAUGUAUAUAGUUUAUAGAUAGUUGUUAUAAAGAAUUAUUUACAUGUUAUCUACUUCUUAGAACUUAAAAUGAAUUUGUAUAUAGUAUUUAACCCUUGGAAUUUUUGUUUUUUAUAAAGAUAUACCUUUAAGUCAUUGUGAACCAUAUUCAGGUCUUGUUCGUCCUCUGAAUCCUCAUUGUGUUCUUCUACUGUUUUAAUUAUCACAUUGUUGUUCAUCUCUAUAUCAGGAAUUAUAAUGUUAUCUAUUUGCA